UACGUAGGGUGCAAGCGUUGUCCGGAAUUAUUGGGCGUAAAGAGCUCGUAGGCGGUCUGUUGCGUCGGCUGUGAAAACCCGGGGCUCAACCCCGGGCCUGCAGCCGAUACGGGCAGACUAGAGUUCGGCAGGGGAGACUGGAAUUCCCGGUGUAGAGGUGAAAUUCGUAGAUAUCGGGAGGAACACCGGUGGCGAAGGCGGCAUCCUGGACCAACACUGACGCUGAGGAGCGAAAGCCAGGGGAGCAAACGGG
rnacentral:rRNA from 1 species